UACGGAGGGUGCAAGCGUUAUCCGGAUUCACUGGGUUUAAAGGGUGCGUAGGCGGGCAGGUAAGUCAGUGGUGAAAUCCUAGAGCUUAACUCUAGAACUGCCAUUGAUACUAUCUGUCUUGAAUAUUGUGGAGGUAAGCGGAAUAUGUCAUGUAGCGGUGAAAUGCUUAGAUAUGACAUAGAACACCUAUUGCGAAGGCAGCUUUACUACGCAUAAUAUUG
rnacentral:rRNA from 1 species